rnacentral:tRNA from 1 species
GCGCGAGUAGCUCAAUUGGAUAGAGCAUCGGUCUACGGAACCGAAGGUUACAGGUUCGAGCCCUGUCUCGCGUA